CCACCUAUCGUUUAAUGGCUCAAAUGAAUAUUUAAAUACAACCUGUUYGUCACCUUUGGCUUUACCUUUAUCUGAUGUUAAUCCUGAAACACCAUUGAAUCAAUUAUCAUCUGCCAAUCUAUCGUUUAAUGGCUCAAAUGAAUAUUUAAAUACAACCUGUUCGUCACCUUUGGCUUUACCUUUAUCUGAUGUUAAUCCUGAAACACCUACAAUGCUCUUAAAUUCAGUUAAACCAUCUUCUGCUAUAUUACUUAAGACUAUUGGAAUAAAAAGAUUAAAAGAAAUGACACCUAGAAAAAGAUUGUUAUAUUCUGUAACUAAGAAGUUAAAAAAGCAGAUUAAUGUUAUU